UACAGAGGUGGCAAGCGUUGUUCGGAAUUACUGGGCGUAAAGGGCGAGUAGGUGGCCAUCUAAGUCAGACGUGAAAUCCCCCGGCUUAACCUGGGAACUGCGUCUGAUACUGGACGGCUUGAGUAUGGGAGAGGAACGUAGAAUUCCAGGUGUAGCGGUGAAAUGCGUAGAUAUUCGGAAGAACACCAGUGGCGAAGGCGGCUCACUGGACUGGUAUUGACGCUGAGGUGCGAAAGCGUGGGGAGCAAACAGG
rnacentral:rRNA from 1 species